CAAAAUCAAUGGGCUAACUGAUCAUGGAUUGAAACCAGUAAAACUAUGAGCAAAAGUCAACCUGUCCUCUGCACUAAUGGAGCUCAGUCCUUCUUCACAGUGAUGUAAAGAUGACCAACACAAGAGGCUGUUGAAAGAAAGUUCCUCCCUGAUCUCUGCCCUAUGUUUCACCCCCACCCCACCCCACGCCACCCCACCCCACCCCACAGAAUCCACUCAGUGCUGCCUUUGUCUGUGCCUGGAUGUAGGACCAUCUCUUGGAGCAUGAGUAUUCUCUCGGGAGUGCAUUCCUGAAGAAAAGUGACUCUUCCCCAGUUGCCAAUAGCUCCUCGCUUAGGACUGGAGCUUCGUAGCCCUUCCAAAGGGACAUGUUUAAAGGACAAGCCUGCAUACCCACAGGUAUCUCCUGUGCCAGAAGUGUUUACAUUCAGAAGUAAACUAAAAGGAUGUGUCUAUGAAGUUUCUUUGGUUAUAGUAAGUAUGACAUACUAGUAUGAGCUCUGUGGGUAUGAGAUUGAAAUAAGUGGAG
rnacentral:lncRNA from 1 species